rnacentral:ribozyme from 14 species
UUUUCGUCUUUCUUUCUUUCCUUCUCUUUUUCUCGGUGGAGUUCUUACGAAGAAGGAAGGAACAACGACAAAAAAAGAAAAAACUGAAAAG